ensembl:lncRNA
UUGCAGGCAAAACCUGGCUGCUGUAGUGUAGCUUGGUUUUAUUUAUGUCCACAAAUAUUUCAAAAAAAUUACAAAAUACUCAAAUGGAGAGAACACAGAAGUCACGAUUUCUGGGUUUCUACUCUGUUUACACUGUGUUAUCCCAUCGCAAACUACUCAUAUAUACAUUAAGCUUCAAGAUAUAUAUAAAUGUAGCAGUCAGAAUGUACACUCUGCUUUAACGGUGCAGUGAAACAAGCUCAACCAUGACGACAUAGAACAAGAGAGACGUUUCAAAAACACUAAAGCAAAAUUAAAAAAAUCAACUUUCCAAACACAGGGAAAAAACCAAAAGAAGAGAGAUUUCUUAAAGAAAAACAAAAGGUCUGGGUUGUUUUAACAGGGCAUCGAACACCGAGAUGGCUUCAAAAACCACUGCAUGUAAAGUUGUAGUUAAUCAUUGGUCUGAAGUGGAAGAAUUUCAGUGCUUAUUUGCUGAAUGAACAAAAAACUCCUAUAAAUUAUCAGAAUGCUUUUCUGGGGAAAAUACAAGUUAAAAAUCAAUGAAUAGCUUUAGAACAGACUGCAAACUUCAGCUGAAAAAAACCAAUACAGACAGAGAGAGGACCACGGAAGGCAAUUAAGUUGGGUUUUUCCUUAAGAACAACUAUGGCUAAAAAUAACAGCAAAAGAGAAGGAUCAGAAGAAAUGGCUGAACUACCCCAGACUCCCAAAUUACCCAUGGUAAAACCAAGGAGGGGAGGUUUACCUGAAAUAUGCCUAAUUAGACCUUUAAAGUAACCUGAGGCACUCUCUCUGCUGAGCAGACUGAUCUUACCAACUACUCCACUGUUUGCAAAGGUAAAAAGUAUUACUCAGAAGAAACCAUUUCACCUGAUCGCUGCACACAGCAACUGAAGGCAUUGACUGAAGACUUUACCGUCCUCGAUUUGAGCUUGACCUCAUGGUUUCCAACUCUCAGAAACACUAGCUGUUCCUCCUAAUGCCUUCACACAGAGUUCAAACACAGCAGAUGGAACUGAUUAAACGCUACUGCAGUUCUUUAGCACUGAGAAAUCUGGAAUGAGGACAAGAAAAAAGGAAGAUCAACAUCAGCUGAAAUAGUCCUCCCCUCUCUCCUCUACAUUCUUGCCUCAAGUGGACCAGGAAUACCCUGAUGCAUGUUUUUAACUGGUCAAUUGAUGUUACUAACUGUCCGGCAGUAAUCUUUGGGCACUGACCUUGGUUUGAGAUGCAGGAGGCAGAUAAAGCACUGUGCAUGCCAUGCCUUCCGUCAGGAUGUAUGAUUAACUACAAGUUUAUCAAGCAUGGCUCAGUACAGUCCUAUGACACAACCAUCACACUGAACAGUCUACAACAGCAGAGAGAGAGCACUCAUGACUUGAGAGAGAGAAUGGGGGGAAGUUAUGCGCCAGCAGAAAAAAAAGGCCAGCAGACUCAGAUGUCCAUUGGUUGCAUCACCCUCUGCUCUGGCAAAGAAAACCCAUGGCAAAACAGUGAGAUAAAAAAUGAAUCUGUCUAGACAGUAAGCAGAGCUGUCUCCAGAAUAAUGCUUGCUGGCCUUCUGUGCAUUCCUCUCCUCCCCUCCACAUGGGAACUAGCCAACAGGAGUUACUCCACACGGACCUGUUGUGUUGGGAGUCAGUAAAUGUUACUGUCCACGGUUAAUCCUAAAGCAGGAAGUUCCUGAGAUACAGAACACUGGUGGCAGUUAAAAAGUUUUUUGCUUACAAAACCAAAACUAAAACAGUUAAAGAGAAUUAGAGACUGGUCUUUGCAGAACAACUUUAAGAACACUAAUGGAGUUGCCUAGUCCACUUUUCUUAAGAACAUACCAAACAGAAGAGGCCAGAAAGAGCACGUCCUCCAAAAGGAUGCAUACAAAACUCUGGCUGUACUCGUCUGAGCCAUGGAACAUGUUUAAAAAGAGAUUUUAGAACAGAUUAUUUCUUGAAAUUUUUCCCUACAUUCUAAAACCAAUGUAGUUAAGUUUCAAAAGGUAAUAGGAAAGAAGUGUAUUAUGGCCACACUGAAAAUGAACCCUUGAAGCAGGCAUCAAAAAGGGUAAGCGAGCUCCAAGGGACAUCUGUACUGCUCAGAAACCCAACUCAACAGAAAUCAGCUGCAGAACAGAGAGAUGUAACACGAACAAAAAACCCCCAAACAACCAAACCAACCAAAAAACCAAGAACAGAAACAGUCAUUUGCAACAUUAUCCCUGCAACUCUCUUUAAUGCUUAUUGUUGAUAGCAAACCAAAUUUCAAGCUUUGACCCAUUUGAAAUUAUUGAUACCCAUCGUUCCCUUUAAUUAAAGGGAUAAUUAUAUAUAUAAUUAUUUUUUUUUUAUUAAAAAAUCAACUCUGUAUUCUGUCAAUACCAGGUAGGAAUUCACAAUUUGUGAUGUUACUGAAAAUCAAGAUAAAUGCUUCUGGAGUUUGUGUUUUGUUUUGUUUCUCCCCCCUACCCAAAAAAAGGUUAUUUACAGACUUAAAAAGCCAUGCUGCAGAACUGAGCUCUCUUGAAAAU